rnacentral:rRNA from 1 species
UUACGAAGCCUAGUGGUAUCCUGAGUAGCGCGGGGCACGAGAAAUCUUGCGUGAAUUAGCGGGGCCCAUCCCGUAAGGCUAAAUACUCCCGAGAGACCGAUAGCGAACCAGUACCGUGAGGGAAAGGUGAAAAGAACCCCGAGCAGGGGAGUGAAAUAGACCCUGAACCCGUCUGCCUACAAGCGGUCGGAGCGUCGUAAUGACGUGACGGCGUGCCUUUUGCAUAAUGAACCUACGAGUUACCUUCCCCGGCAAGGUUAAGUACCUAAGGUACGGAGCCGAAGCGAAAGCGAGUCUGAACAGGGCGCCAAGUCGGGGGGGGUAGACGCGAAACCGAGUGAUCUACCCUUGGCCAGGUUGAAGGUUGGGUAACACCAACUGGAGGACCGGAUGGGUAAGCGUUGAAAAGCUUUCCAAUGAGCUGAGGGUAGGGGUGAAAGGCUAAUCAAACUCGGAGAUAGCUCGUACUCCCCGAAAUGCAUUUAGGUGCAGCCUCUUUAUAGUAUAUCGUGAGGUAGAGCGACUGAUUGGAUGCGAGGGCUUCACCGCCUAUCAAGUCCAGAUAAACUCCGAAUGCGCGAUAUAUAUUUACAGGGAGUGAGGGCGCGGGUGCUAAGGUCCGUGUCCGAGAGGAGAAGAAUCCAGACCACCGGCUAAGGCCCCCAAAUGAUCGUUAAGUUGAACUAACGAGGUCGGAUCGCAGAGACAGCUAGGAUGUUGGCUUGGAAGCAGCCAUUCAUUUAAAGAGUGCGUAACAGCUCACUAGUCGAGCGAUCUGGCGUGGAUAAUAAUCGGGCAUAAACGAUCUGCCGAAGCCGUGGAUGUCGCAAGACAUGGUAGGGGAGCAUUCCAUGCCGCGUCGAAGAUGAGGGGUGACCCUUGUUGGAGCGCAUGGAAAAGCAAAUGUAGGUAUGAGUAACGAUAAGGGGGGCGAGAAACCCCCCCGCCGAAAGACCAAGGUUUCCUGAUCAACGCUAAUCGGAUCAGGGUGAGUCGGGACCUAAGGCAAAGCCGAACGGCGCCGCCGAUGGAAGAAUGGGUUAAUAUUCCCAUACUGCCUCAUGGAGUGACGUGGAGACGGAGAAGUGACAGUCCUGCCGGCUGACGGAAUAGCCGGUUGAAGGGUGUAGAUAUUGAUUCCCGUAGGCAAAUCCGCGGGGAGAGUCGAACCUGAGAGUAUACGGAGCGCUUGCGCAACGUAAUAUGGACGUAACCAUGCUCCCGAGAAAAUCCGCUAAACUUAUCCAUGCGGCACCCGUACCGUAAACGGACACACGUGGUCGGGUUGAGAAUACUGAGGCGCUCGAGUGAUUCACGGUUAAGGAACUAGGCAAAUUGACCCUGUAACUUCGGGAUAAAGGGUCCUCGUCGUAAGGCGAGGCGCAGAGAAUAGGUCCAGGCAACUGUUUAACAAAAACACAUGGCUGUGCUAAAUGGAAACAUGAUGUAUACAGCCUGACACCUGCCCGGUGCCGGAAGGUUAAGAGGAGAUGUCAUCCGCGAGGAGAAGCGUUGAAUUGAAGCCCCGGUAAACGGCGGCCGUAACUAUAACGGUCCUAAGGUAGCGAAAUUCCUUGUCGGGUAAGUUCCGACCUGCACGAAUGGUGUAAUGAUCUGGACACUGUCUCAACCGUGAGCUCGGUGAAAUUGUAGUAUCGGUGAAGAUGCCGAUUACCCGCGAUGGGACGAAAAGACCCCGUGAACCUUUACUAUAGCUUUACAUUGAGUUUGGGCAGACGAUGUGUAGGAUAGGCCGGAGGCAUUGAAGCAGGUACGCCAGUAUUUGUGGAGCCGACGUUGAAAUACGGCCCUUCGGUUGUUUGAGUUCUAACUCCUAGUUAGGAGGACACUGUAUGGUGGGUAGUUUGACUGGGGUGGUCGCCUCCAAAAGCGUAACGGAGGCUUCUAAAGGUGCCCUCAGACCGAUUGGUAACCGGUCGCAGAGUGUAAUGGCAUAAGGGCGCUUGACUGGGAGACAUACAAGUCGAUCAGGUAGGAAACUAGAGCAUAGUGAUCCGGUGGUUCCGCAUGGAAGGGCCAUCGC